rnacentral:piRNA from 1 species
UAGGAGCAUCUUCAGCUUCAGUCCAGGGG